rnacentral:rRNA from 1 species
GACGAACGCUGGCGGCGUGCUUAAUACAUGCAAGUCGAACGGGGCCUAGCCGAUAGGUUUCACUUAUUGGCGAAAGCCUAGUGGCGGACGGGUGAGUAACGCGUGGGCAAUCUGCCCCUAAGUCCGGGAUAACAGAGCGAAAGUUCUGCUAAGACCGGAUAUGCUUCUUAGGUCGCAUGGCUUAGGGAGGAAAGGUUUACCGCUUAGGGAUGAGCCCGCGUCCCAUUAGCUAGUUGGUGAGGUAACGGCCCACCAAGGCGACGAUGGGUAGCCGGCCUGAGAGGGUGUACGGCCACACUGGGACUGAGACACGGCCCAGACUCCUACGGGAGGCAGCAGUAGGGAAUUUUCGGCAAUGGGCGGAAGCCUGACCGAGCAACGCCGCGUGAGGGAAGAAGGUCUUCGGAUCGUAAACCUUUGUCAUCGGGGACGAUGAUGACGGUACCCGAGGAGGAAGCCCCGGCUAACUACGUG